rnacentral:lncRNA from 1 species
AAUUUUAUUCAAAAUUAAGCACUCUUAGCUUUUUAAGUAUGUGUGAGCAAGGAAAUCGUACCUUGCUAGGGUUAGGAUUUCGUGUUGGCUGAGGAGGAGAGAAAUCCACGAAAAGUACGGAAUUGAUUGAUUGAUUGAAGAGGGGAGAAGAACAGGUGAGCGAUUACUCCAGCGACACGUGGCAGAACUCUUAGAAUCUGAGAACCUUGUUAGGGUAGCAAGGAUUCAGAGAGCCUUCUUGAGUCUUCGGAUUAAGAGAGAAUCUCCAAAUCUCCUAGUCUUCUAAAAGGUCCAAGAGUCUAAAAUCAGGUCCCCUUCCCAAUGGAGUGGAAGGGGUAUUUAUAGGGUUUUCUAGAGAGAACAUGACCUCGGAGAAAUUUUAAUUUUACCCUUAGUCAUCAGAGUAAUGCCCAAAUCGUCCUGCCCUUCUAGCCAUCAAUCCAAUCCAUCAAUCAAUUCCCAAAAUGAGUCGCCUCCACGUGUCUUCUGCCUCGGGACACGUGGAACAUUCUCUCAGGUGUUGCUUCUUUAUUUCCAACUCUUCCGUCUUUUCAUUUAAUGCGAACUUUAAUUUGUACAUUUAAUUCAAUUAGGUCAAGUAAACCCUAAUUUGCACUUGGACCCACAGUAUGAAUUCUCUAAUGACUAAUUUAUUUAUGCGCAUUCUAAAAUAUUGAAUAAGUUAUCUUUGUGAAAACGAGUGAUUUUCUAUUUUGAAAUGAAAGGAGCUAAAAAACAAUGAAUCCUCUAAUGAUAAAUCAAAUUUGAGAUUUUUUUUAGAGUGGAUGCAAUAACUUUAUAAGAAAGCUGAUAUUUAUACGUGUUUUUGAUAUUUUUAUAUAGUUUUUACUUGAACAUGAUAAGAAAGUGGAUCCCACCUUCAUGUGAGAGGGGACCAUGUAAAAAUAUCAAAAAUUCAUAUGAAAAUAGUGUUCCCCUUAUAAUAAUUAUAUUUUCUCUGUUUACAAUAUAACGCCAAUGCAUAAAAUGAGAUAAUUUUAAAGUUAAAAAUUGAUAGGAUUGAAUAUAAAUCUUGUAGUUUGCAAUAAUUACUAAAUAACUUGUAAUAUUCAUAAUUUUAUUGACUUGAAAUUAUAGCAAGUCAAGUCAUUUUUUAAUUACUUUAUUUCAUAACACAAUGUCGCUCUGAUUGAUUUAACAAAGGGGAUGAUGAUGAUGUCUUGCCUGUUUUUGUUGGUUUGCAUACAUCUAAGAAAAGCCACCACUUGGUGACUGCAGGUAUUUGAGCAGUGAAGGUUUCCCCUCCCAAUUAUUACUUAUUAGUCUUAAAUAAAAGCAUAUAUCAUGAUCAAUGAAGUGAGCAAAUUUUUAAAAGAAAAAAUCGGAAAAUUUUGUAUUUGAAAAGAGGAAACAUUGUUAAUAAUGAGGUGGGGUGAAAUUUUUUGAUUAGGAACGAAGGGAGUUACCUAUUUUAUCGCACAAAAAUGGAUCAAACACCAUAUAUAUAUAUGAACUGCCCACUACUAUAUAUUAUUAGCUAAUUUGUUGCUUACCAAACAUAAAACUUAAAACACAAUCUAAAUAUAAACCAUUGAGUAAUUCAUCCAUCACAUCAAGUGCAAAAUCCCAUAUAAAUUCAAGAAAAACAAAUCUACAAGCUGAGUUUGUUGAGAAAAUAUAUAAAUUCAACAAAUUUAAGUAUUACCCACAAGAAAAAAACCAAUCUACUCCAUGUCACAUUUGUAGCCACCGACAAAUUCCCUGCGAACCUCUUCUUCACAUGAAUAUGAUAAUUCUUUGAAAGCUAAGUUGGAUUCUUUUGCUAAAAGCUGUCCACUUGGCCCAAAGGCUGCAAUGGCAGGAAGGGCCCGCUGUAGGUAGAAUAGAAGUUUAUCCAACACCAGUGUUCUCUCUAGAUUGCAACGUUGUACAUGUCAAAAGCAAAGUAAUUCAGAGAUCGAUCAGGAUUCAGGCUCAAGAAUAAUACGUGGAACCUCAGUUCGGCUAAGCUAGCAUGGCAGUUUUGAGAACACGACACAACUUUCUACCACUUCCUAACAGGGUAUACCAAGGGAUAUUUCCAAACUCUUCCUUGAAUUUGGCCUUCGCAGAGGACUAAUUCAAAGUGAGACUGUAAUUUAGCAAAAUCUCAAAAUCUAUAUCCGGCCUACAUUCCAACGAUUCCCAGUUCCUCUUAAGUUUUCUGGUCCGUUCAAUGCCAGAGUAUGAUUCUUCAUAAAAAUACAGGCCCACGGUCUUGCCUUGAAGCUUUGAGGUACUUACCUGCAAAGAAAAAAUGUAUACGAGAAUUUAAAAAUUCUCAAAUGACAGAGAACCUCAAAAUAGAUAUUUGGACUAGCCACAACCAACCGUAUUGUAUAAAGAUAAAUUAUUAGUCACCCUAGCUAGCAAGCAAAUAAAUUGACUUACUUCUUUUCCUUCACAAGUAGUUACAAAGUCGCCAAAGAGAUCAGUCAAUGAUAGUUUCUUCCGGUACAGGUUUUUCAUGAGUUCUUGAUCGUCAACGUCAAGGUCUACAUCGUCAAGGCAUGAUGUGCACUCUUUUAUAUGGAGGAUUAAUAUUUUUCUAGAAUUCGGACUUGGAUUUCACUUGCAUCUCUUUUGCUUAUAAUUAGAUUAUGAAAUUCUCGCUUGAAUUUUCCAUCUUCACCAACAAUUAUUUUCCCCCAGUGAUUUCCAUAUUCAUCAACUUAUCAUUAUCAUUGUCUUUGGGGUAGGAAAUUAAUAUAUAAUGAGAUGAUUUUGCUUUGUUUGGAGGAUGCUUCUUGACCCUUGGCCCAACUGGAUGUUAUUAGAUCAUGUAUGUGAGUUUGCUCCUUCUGUUAUUUCGG